ensembl:lncRNA
UGACGUUGCUUUAAUAUUUAUUUUGCUGGUAUUUGCCUCAGGCGGUGUAAUAAUUGAGUAGAAAAAAAAUAAGACGUAUUUAAUGUGUUACAAAAAUAAAUAAAUACAAAUAAUGUGCCCUUGAUGUUACAAAGAACUCGAGAGGGAGAGAGGGGAGCAAAGCGGCCUAAAUUACCUUCAGCCUCUAGAAGCUAUUAGGGAGACAUUUCAUUAGAGGUGAAUGAAGAGAUCAAUGCCAUACCAGCGGCUAUGCUAAUGAGGUUUCUCACACACACACACACACACAUCAUCUCAGAUGCAGCAUCGUUCUGCAUCCUGAGCAUCUCACUGCUCGUGGACACAUUUGAAGCUUCUCAAAAAACUCAUUCAAGAUUGAUUUCCAUUUUCUUCCUUUACAAACAUAUUUAAUCAUAAAAAAAAGGGAAAUCAGCACUGAACACAAAGAGAAGCGGGGAUGUGAUGAUCAUCGGAUUCAGGAAAAGUAGAUCAUUUGAGAGUUUGGUUGGAAAACAUUUUCAAUGUACAAUGUACACAUUUGACCUUCUAACUUGUAACUGUGCAAACAGUUGGAUUACUUUGAAUUCAGAUUUUCUUAAAUGUACAUGAAACCACUUUGCAGUCUCUUUAGGCUGCAAUACGUCUUUGACUAAUGCAGUUUGUCAACAUCCAUUUGACCCGAUUAGAUAACGUUUUCACUCCUUUUUCAUCUCACUUCAAAUCAUUUUUAUUGCAUCUGAAGGGGUUUUUUCCGACCUCAUUUCAAUCAAACAACUUCCCACCAAAACUGUCACUGACAUUAAAAUAAAUGUCGAACGUAACGAUCGGAAGCUGAAAUCCUUUCAACGCAGCACAAAGACACAUUUAGAAGUUCGGGAGCUUCUGCAGCUCUGACUCAUCCAUCUUUGUGUUUGUUGGAGGCGCCACAAACGGCUCUUCUAAUCUAGCUAAUUGCCGUUUCCCAGCGCUCGACGUUUAAGAGGAGGAGCUGUGUCACCAAAGAGCCGGUUUAUCAAAACAUCCUAUUAGGGUGAAGAAACAAAAGCCUCUCACAAGCCUAACAAUGUGCCGCCGGUGAUUCAACAGUUUGCUCGCUGGGCACAAACCAUUAAUUAGGGCAAUAACUUCGUGCCAUUGCCGUUCUAUAGUCUCCAUUUCUGUAUGAGUGCAUCUAUUUGUGCUCUGAAGUUUGCCGGGGUCUCCGACUUGCCGAGUGUGCCGCCCCCCCCCCCCGUUCCGUGUGCAGAUGUGUCAUUGCCGUAAUGAGACUCCCAAAACCCUGAAACCUUUCCUGACAAAAUAAUAUUCCUCAUCGCGGCCACUCGUAACGAGAAUCGACAUAAUUACUCGGGCCCAUUUCUGGUCUAAUUAGCACACUUCCCCGGUGGACAGGGACAAGCAGUUAGCCAGGAGAAGGGAACCGGACAGGCAUGGCGGUACCAACACAAAAAAAAGGGGGCCUCUGGUUUCAGCGUAAUUAGGUGAGACAAUGCCCCUGACUGUUUUGAGCCGUGGCAGCGGCUCGGAGCCGGGGCCCGAGAUGGCGAGCGGACGCCCCCGUGAGCCACGUCUCAUCCCCCGAAACCCUAAUAAGCCCCUAAUUGUCUUUUUUUUUUUUUUUUUUUAUUCUCAUGGGCAGACAUAAAGACGGACUGGUCGUGGUCUCCCGCGGAGAGGCUUUCCCUCUGUUCCUCCAGAGAUCCGAGUGGACUCGCUCGGGACCUUCACCCUCAAAGUCCCGACGGCCGGCGCUAACGUGUUGUGACAGCGUCGCGAUCCUGCAGCGCUGCAGACAUGUUGAAAGCAGGGAGCAGAUUUAGUGUCUUUACGGGCAGCCAAGGGGCUGAUUAUCUCACAAUUUGGGAUUUGCCUUCAUUUGCUGA